UCCAGGUGCUCUGACAUAUUCUCCCCGUGUCAGCGUGGGUUUCCUCCAGGUGCUCUGACAUGUUCUCCCCGUGUCAGCGUGGGUUUCCUCCAGGUGCUCUGACAUGUUCUCCCUGUGUCAGUGUGGGUUUCCUCCAGGUGCUCUGACAUGUUCUCCCUGUGUCAGUGUGGGUUUCCUCCAGGUGCUCUGACAUGUUCUCCCUGUGUCAGCGUGGGUUUCCUCCAGGUGCUCUGACAUGUUCUCACUGUGUCAGCGUGGGUUUCCUCCAGGUGCUCUGACAUGUUCUCCCUGUGUCAGCGUGGGUUUCCUCCAGGUGCUCUGACAUGUUCUCCUUGUGUCAGUGUGGGUUUCCUCCAGGUGCUCUGACAUGUUCUCCCUGUGUCAGCGUGGGUUUCCUCCAGGUGCUCUGACAUGUUCUCCCUGUGUCAGUGUGGGUUUCCUCCAGGUGCUCUGACAUGUUCUCCCUGUGUCAGAGUGGGUUUCCUCCAGGUGCUCCCACAUGUUCUCCCUGUGUCAGCGUGGGUUUCCUCCAGGUGCUCUGACAUGUUCUCCCUGUGUCAGCGUGGGUUUCCUCCAGGUGCUCUGACAUGUUCUCCCUGUGUCAGCGUGGGUUUCCUCCAGGUGCUCCCACAUGUUCUCCCUGUGUCAGUGUGGGUUUCCUCCAGGUGCUCUGACAUGUUCUCCCUGUGUCAGAGUGGGUUUCCUCCAGGUGCUCUGACAUGUUCUCCCUGUGUCAGUGUGGGUUUCCUCCAGGUGCUCCCACAUGUUCUCCCUGUGUCAGCGUGGGUUUCCUCCAGGUGCUCCCACAUGUUCUCCCUGUGUCAGCGUGGGUUUCCUCCAGGUGCUCUGACAUGUUCUCCCUGUGUCAGAGUGGGUUUCCUCCAGGUGCUCUGACAUGUUCUCCCUGUGUCAGCGUGGGUUUCCUCCAGGUGCUCUGACAUGUUCUCCCCGUGUCAGUGUGGGUUUCCUCCAGGUGCUCUGACAUGUUCUCCCUGUGUCAGCGUGGGUUUCCUCCAGGUGCUCUGACAUGU